AUGGACCAGGAGGUCAAGGAGUCGAAGCCCUCCGGCGAGCCAAACCUGUUCCUGCAAUGGGGCAGCCGGAAGCGGCUUCGCUGUGUCAAAUCCCGCGAAGACGGCUCGCCGUCGCCGGCCCGGUCGGAUGCGCUCAGGCGCACCAUACCCCGGGUGAAUCGCCCCCUUCUGGGAGGCGACGUGGCGCAGUUUCGUUCACCACGCCGCCCCAGCACUCUUCACCGGAGGAAAUCCGAGGCGCAGGCGAGUGAGGCCAGGCAGUCCAUAUCCCUCUCACCAGAGAAGGACCGGUACUACUCCACCAGGGGUUCCCCAUUUCCCUUUGAGGGGAAUGGGUUUGAUUUCAGCGGUGGGGUGGAAGAGAAGGGCACCGCUGCUCUGCCGAGGUUCUUCAUCUCCUUGUCGAACAAGGAGAAAGAGGAGGACUUCUUGGCAAUGAAGGGCUGCAAGCUCCCUCAGAGGCCGAAGAAGAGGCCCAAGCUGAUGCAGAAGUGCUUGCUUACGGUGUGCCCAGGAGCAUGGCUGUCAGAUUUGUCGCACGAGAGGUAUGAAGUUAGAGAGAAGAAGAGCUCCAAGAAGCAGAGGGCGAGGGGACUGAAGGCGCUGUGCAUGGAGAGCGAUUCGGAGUAG
rnacentral:rRNA from 1 species